GACGAACGCUGGCGGCGGGCUUAACACGUGCAAGUCGAACGGCAAGGCCCUGCUUUUGUGGGGUGCUCGAGUGGCGAACGGGUGAGUAACACGUGAGCAACCUGCCCUUGACUUUGGGAUGACUUCAGGAAACUGGGGUUAAUCCCGUAUAGCAGCUCCCGCUGCAUGGUAGGCGGUGGAAAGUCUCGGCGGGUGGGGAUGGACGCGCGGCUGAUGAGCUAGUUGGUGGGGUAGUGGCUGACCAAGGCAUUGACGGGUAGGCGGCCUGUGAGGGUGACCGGGCACAAGAGGCCUGAGAUACGGACCAGACUGCUACAGUAGGCAGAAGGCGGGAGUAUUGUACAAUGGUCGGAAGCGUGAUGCAGAAACGCCCCGUUCGGGAUGACGGCUUUCGGGUUGUAAACCGCUUCCGCCUGAUACGAAGCGUGAGUGACGGUAAUGGGUAAAUAAGCACCGGCUAACUACGUG
rnacentral:rRNA from 1 species